rnacentral:misc_RNA from 1 species
UUUCUCCUCUUGGGUUCUCUGCGAUCGGAAAAAUAGCAAAACCCUAGCUCAAAGCCCUAGAACAAAUCAGGAGGGAGCCCAUGGCGUAUCAACACCAAUCAUCUAAUCACACCGGAGACAACGACGACGGCAAGAAUCGACGGCUCUAUAACCCUUACCAAGACCUACAAGUUCCAAGCAAAACACUUUACAAGCUUCCUACCUCACCUGAGUUUCUGUUUCAGGAAGAAUCUAUUGCCCAGCGUAGAUCAUGGGGAGAGAAUUUGACUUAUUACACUGGUAUCGGUU